rnacentral:rRNA from 1 species
GACGAACGCUGGCGGCGUGCUUAACACAUGCAAGUCGUACGGUAAGGCCCUUUCGGGGGUACACGAGUGGCGAACGGGUGAGUAACACGUGAGUAACCUGCCCACAACUUUGGGAUAACGCUAGGAAACUGGUGCUAAUACUGGAUAUGUGCUCCUGCUGCAUGGUGGGGGUUGGAAAGCUCCGGCGGUUGUGGAUGGACUCGCGGCCUAUCAGCUUGUUGGUGGGGUAGUGGCCUACCAAGGCGGCGACGGGUAGCCGGCCUGAGAGGGUGACCGGCCACAUUGGGACUGAGAUACGGCCCAAACUCCUACGGGAGGCAGCAGUGGGGAAUCUUCUGCAAUGGGCGCAAGCCUGACAGAGCGGCGUCAUGUGAAGGAAGAAGGCCUGAAAUAGGUUGUAAACUUCUUUUACUGAGUAAUGAAUACUGACAACGCAGUAAAAAAGUAUCGGCUAACUCCGUGCCAGCCGCCGC